UGAAUAUGGGGGGACCAUCCUCCAAGGCUAAAUACUCCUGACUGACCGAUAGUGAACCAGUACCGUGAGGGAAAGGCGAAAAGAACCCCUGUGAGGGGAGUGAAAUAGAACCUGAAACCGUGUACGUACAAGCAGUAGGAGCACCUUCGUGGUGUGACUGCGUACCUUUUGUAUAAUGGGUCAGCGACUUAUAUUCAGUGGCAAGGUUAACCGUAUAGGGGAGCCGUAGCGAAAGCGAGUCUUAACUGGGCGCUCAGUCUCUGGAUAUAGACCCGAAACCGGGUGAUCUAGCCAUGGGCAGGUUGAAGGUUGAGUAACAUCAACUGGAGGACCGAACCGACUAAUGUUGAAAAAUUAGCGGAUGACUUGUGGCUAGGGGUGAAAGGCCAAUCAAACUCGGAGAUAGCUGGUUCUCCCCGAAAGCUAUUUAGGUAGCGCCUCGGACGAAUACUACUGGGGGUAGAGCACUGUUAAGGCUAGGGGGUCAUCCCGACUUACCAACCCUUUGCAAACUCCGAAUACCAGUAAGUACUAUCCGGGAGACACACGGCGGGUGCUAACGUCCGUCGUGGAGAGGGAAACAACCCAGACCGCCAGCUAAGGUCCCAAAGUAUUGCUAAGUGGGAAACGAUGUGGGAAGGCUCAGACAGCUAGGAUGUUGGCUUAGAAGCAGCCAUCAUUUAAAGAAAGCGUAAUAGCUCACUAGUCGAGUCGGCCUGCGCGGAAGAUGUAACGGGGCUAAGCAAUACACCGAAGCUGCGGCAAUGUCUUUUAGACAUUGGGUAGGGGAGCGUUCUGUA
rnacentral:rRNA from 1 species